rnacentral:rRNA from 1 species
UACAGAGGUCCCAAGCGUUGUUCGGAUUCAUUGGGCGUAAAGGGUGCGUAGGUGGCAGGGUAAGUUGGAUGUGAAAUCCCGGGGCUCAACCCCGGAACUGCAUUCAAUACUGCCCUGCUAGAGUACUGGAGAGGAGAUUGGAAUUCAUGGUGUAGCAGUGAAAUGCGUAGAUAUCAUGAGGAAGACCAGUGGCGAAGGCGGAUCUCUGGACAGUUACUGACACUGAGGCA